rnacentral:rRNA from 1 species
CUACGUGCCAGCAGCCGCGGUAAUACGGAGGGKGCAAGCGUUAAUCGGAAUUACUGGGCGUAAAGCGCACGCAGGCGGUUUGUUAAGUCAGAUGUGAAAUCCCCGCGCUUAACGUGGGAACUGCAUUUGAAACUGGCAAGCUAGAGUCUUGUAGAGGGGGGUAGAAUUCCAGGUGUAGCGGUGAAAUGCGUAGAGAUCUGGAGGAAUACCGGUGGCGAAGGCGGCCCCCUGGACAAAGACUGACGCUCAGGUGCGAAAGCGUGGGGAGCAAACAGGAUUAGAUACCCUGGUAGUCCACGCUGUAAACGAUGUCGACUUGGAGGUUGUGCCCUUGAGGCGUGGCUUCCGGAGCUAACGCGUUAAGUCGACCGCCUGGGGAGUACGGCCGCAAGGUUAAAACUCAAAUGAAUUGACGGGGGCCCGCACAAGCGGUGGAGCAUGUGGUUUAAUUCGAUGCAACGCGAAGAACCUUACCUACUCUUGACAUCCAGAGAAUUCGCUAGAGAUAG